GACGAACGCUGGCGGCGUGCCUAACACAUGCAAGUCGUGCGAGAAAACCCCUUCGGGGGUGAGUAAAGCGGCGGACGGGUGAGUAACACGUGAGCGAUCUACCCGACAGUGGGGGAUAACCCAGGGAAACCUGAGCUAAUACCGCAUGUUGCGCCGGCUUAGAAGCCGAGCGUUAAAGCGGGCCUCUCUUUGAAGCUCGUGCUGUUGGAUGGGCUCGCGGCCUAUCAGCUUGUUGGUGGGGUAAUGGCCUACCAAGGCGAUGACGGGUAGCUGGCGUGAGAGCGCGACCAGUCACACUGGGACUGAGACACGGCCCAGACUCCUACGGGAGGCAGCAGUGGGGAAUAUUGCGCAAUGGGGGAAACCCUGACGCAGCAACGCCGCGUGAGUGAGGAAGCAUCUUGGUGUGUAAAGCUCUGUCGAUGGGGACUAAGGUUUAUUGAUUAAGAGUUGGUGAACUUGAAUGUACCCGUAGAGGAAGCCCCGGCUAACUCCGUG
rnacentral:rRNA from 1 species